GGUACAUAGCUCAGUUGGUUAGAGCAGUCGACUCAUAAUCGAUUGGUCGCUGGUUCAAGUCCAGCAGGGUACCA
rnacentral:tRNA from 1 species